rnacentral:lncRNA from 1 species
CAACAGUAGGGCUUAUUGAGAGCUCCAUUUCUGGAAAGCGUUGCAAGACUGAGGAAUAUCGGACUGCGAAUCACCGGGAACAGUUCCCUUGCAGCACAGAAGCAACCUCUCUCCCCAUCUUCGCAUAUUCUGAUGGCAAAUCAAGUGAAAGAAAAGAGGAAGCAUGACUGCAGAUCGGAUCCGUUCUCUUUGUGGAUUACAUUUUCAGUAAAAUGUAUGGAUCUAUCUUUUCCUUGUUCUUAUAUCUAGAUCAUGAGACUUGACUGAGGCUGUA